GACGAACGCUGGCGGCGUGCCUAAUACAUGCAAGUAGAACGCAGUUGCGAACGGGUGAGUAACGCGUAGGUAACUGCCUCAUAGCGGGGGAUAACUAUUGGAAACGAUAGCUAAUACCGCAUCCUGUGGGAUGGACCUGCGUUGUAUUAGCUAGUUGGUGAGGUAAAGGGUCACCAAGGCGACGAAACAUAGCCGCCCUUUGAGGGGGAUCGGCCGCGCUGGGACGUAGAGACGGCCAAGACUCGUACGGGAGGCAGCAGUAGGGAAUAGUCGGGAAUGGACGGAAGUCUGAGCGAGCAAGGCGGCGUGAGUGAGGAAGGGUGUCGGAUGCUAAAGCGCUGUUGUUAGAGAUGCGGUAGCUAACCAGAAAGGGACGGCUAACUACGUGCCAGCAGCCGCGGUAAUAC
rnacentral:rRNA from 1 species